UUAACAAAAACAUGUCUUUUUGAUUAUAAUUUAAAGUCUAAUCUGCCCACUGAUUAAUUAAAUGGCCGCAGUAUUUUGACUGUGCAAAGGUAGCAUAAUAAUUAGUUUUUUAAUUGAAAGCUGGAAUGAAUGAUUGGAUGAGAAAAUAACUGUCUUAAUUUAAAUUUUUUAGAAUUUUAUUUUUAAGUUAAAAAGCUUAAAUUUAAUUAAAAGACGAGAAGACCCUAUAGAGUUUAAUAAAUUAAUUGUUAUAAAUUUUAUUGUUUAGACAUUUUUUAUUAAUUAAUUUAUUUUGUUGGGGUGAUGAAAAAAUUUAAUAAACUUUUUUUUAUUUAAAACAUUAAUAAAUGAAUUUUUGAUCCAUUAAUUAUGAUUAUAAGAUAAAAUUACCUUAGGGAUAACAGCGUAAUUUUUUUUGAGAGUUCUUAUCGAAAUGAAAGAUUGCGACCUCGAUGUUGGAUUAAAGUUUAAUUUUGGUGUAGAAGCUAAAAUUUUAGGUCUGUUCGACCUUUAAAACUUUACAUGAUCUGAGUUAGACC
rnacentral:rRNA from 1 species